rnacentral:snRNA from 1 species
GGGUGUUCGGGUGAUCUGGCUGCAAUAUCUGUCUCCUUACUGAUCCCCAAGGCUGAUUAAGCUGAUCUGGCCAGCUAGGCAGGCAUCCCCUUCCUCCCUUGCCAUUUCUUGUUUGACCCUUCACCCUCCCAAAGCUGCCCUUGGUAGGGGAGUAGCUGCGCUCCCCAACUAGAACCUCCCCAAACAAGCUCUAAAGGAUGUAAAGCAACUAGCUUUCCCUUGUGUUAUUAGUGGGAGUAUGAAAUGCUUUAAAACAAUUUGUCGUGAUGUUUUAAAAAUAUCUUUGAAA